rnacentral:rRNA from 1 species
CUACCUACGGGGGGCAGCAGUAGGGAAUUUUCGUCAAUGGGCGCAAGCCUGAACGAGCGAUGCCGCGUGAGUGAAGAAGGCCUUCGGGUCGUAAACUUCUUUUGUCGGGGAACAAAGGGCGCCACGUGUGGCGUUGUGAGUGUACCCGAAGAAAAAGCAUCGGCUAACUCCGUGCCAGCAGCCGCGGUAAUACGGAGGAUGCGAGCGUUAUCCGGAUUUAUUGGGUUUAAAGGGUGCGUAGGCGGUCCGGAAAGUCAGCGGUAAAAGCCCGGGGCUCAACCCCGGCGAGCCGUUGAAACUGUCGG